rnacentral:rRNA from 1 species
UGGCGCACGGGUGCGUAACGCGUAGCCAACCUACCCGAAUCUGGGGGAUAGCCCGCCGAAAGGCGGAUUAAUACCGCAUAAAACUGCAGCGCGGCAUCGCGUAACAGUUAAAGAUUUAUUGGAUUCGGAUGGGGCUGCGUGCCAUUAGCUAGUUGGGGAGGUAACGGCUCACCAAGGCGACGAUGGCUAGGGGAGCUGAGAGGCUGGUCCCCCACACGGGCACUGAGAUACGGGCCCGACUCCUACGGGAGGCAGCAGUAGGGAAUAUUGGGCAAUGGGCGAGAGCCUGACCCAGCCAUGCCGCGUGCAGGACGAAGGCUUUCUGAGUCGUAAACUGCUUUUACCAGGGAAGAAAAAAGGGGAUGCGUCCCCUACUGACGGUACCUGGUGAAUAAGCACCGGCUAACUCCGUGCCAGCAGCCGCGGUAAUACGGAGGGUGCAAGCGUUAUCCGGAUUUACUGGGUUUAAAGGGUGCGUAGG